GAUGAAGAACGUAGCGAAAUGCGAUAAGUAAUGUGAAUUGCAGAAUUCAGUGAAUCAUCGAAUCUUUGAACGCACCUUGCGCCCUUUGGCCAUUCCGAAGGGCAUGCCUGUUUGAGUAUCAUGAACACCUCAACUCUUCAUGGUUUUCCAUGAUGAGCUUGGACCUUGGGGGUCUUGCUGGCCUGUGGGUCGGCUCCUCUCAAAUGAAUCAGCUUGCCGGUUUUUGGUGGGCAUCACAGGUGUGAUAACUAUCUACGCUUGUGGUUUUCCACCAGGGUAACCUUCAGCAGUGGAGGUUCACUGGAGCUUACAAAUGUCUCUCCUCUGUGAGGACAGCCCUUUGAAUGUUUGAUCUCAAAUCAGGUAGGACUACCCGCUGAACUUAAGCAUAUCAAUAAGCGGAGGA
rnacentral:misc_RNA from 1 species